GUCCACGCCAUAAAACGGUGGGUGCUAGGUGUAGGCGGUAUUCCACGCCGUCUGUGCCGCAGCUAACGCAUUAAGCACCCCGCCUGUGGAGUACGGCCGCAAGGCUAAAACUCAAAGGAAUUGACGGGGGCCCGCACAAGCAGCGGAGCAUGUGGCUUAAUUCGACGCAACGCGAAGAACCUUACCAAGGCUUGACAUACACCGAAAACUCGUAGAGAUACGGGGUCCGCAAGGGCGGUGUACAGGUGGUGCAUGGUUGUCGU
rnacentral:rRNA from 1 species